UAUUCAACCUCUAUGUAUAGCUAAGUUUGACGAUAUGAGGCAUAAUGCCCUACAACGUAGCGGUGUCAGAUCAUUGAGAAUGUUUUCUAUUUAGAAAUAAUAGUCAUUUUCAAUCAUGCGGCACUUUAAUCGCUAUCCCAUAUUUAUAUAGGGAAUGGGACUCUUCACCGAGGUUGUAAAAUGAGACAAACGACUUUAGCUGUAU
rnacentral:ncRNA from 2 species